rnacentral:rRNA from 1 species
UACGGGGGGGGCAAGCGUUGUUCGGAAUUACUGGGCGUAAAGGGCGCGUAGGCGGUCGUGACAAGUCACUUGUGAAAUCUCCGGGCUUAACUCGGAACGGUCAAGUGAUACUGUCGGACUAGAGUACAGAAGGGGCAACUGGAAUUCUCGGUGUAGCGGUGAAAUGCGUAGAUAUCGAGAGGAACACCUGCGGCGAAGGCGGGUUGCUGGGCUGAUACUGACGCUGAGGCGCGAAAGCCAGGGGAGCGAACGGG